GGCUGUGAGGGCAAUCUGGCUGGGACCUCUGUCACCCAUUGAUCACCAAGGUUGAUGAUUCCACUGAUCUGGCUGGCUAGGCAGGUGCCCCCUUCCAGCCGCACUGCUCCAUAUGCCUCCCUACGGAAGCUGUGCGCUUGGUGGGAGAGGACGACCUUCCCCCAUGGAGGACUGUUCUUUCAGCAAGGCUACAGGAGUAGGAAAAAAAAAAAAAAAAGAGGGUAUAGGAGUAGCUGUGCUCCUCCGCUAGAACCUCCAAACACGAUCACAAGGUCCCUCUGCACAAGAACACAGGGUAGUCCUUCCUGUGUUCUUCCAAGACUCCAGACACAUCCAAAUGAAGCACUUCGCGUGGCAACCUGCCUUUCUUA
rnacentral:snRNA from 1 species